UAGCAGUAGAAAGAGGGAAGUGCUCAUGCCAUUAUACAGAACACUGGUGAGACCUCACUUGGAGUAUUGUACGCAGUACUGGAGACUGUAUCUUCAGAAGGAUAUUGAUACCUUAGAGAGGGUUCAGAGAAGGGCUACUAAACUGGUUCAUGGAUUGCGGGAUAAAACUUACCAGGCAAGGUUAAAGGAUCUUAACAUGUAUAGCUUGGAGGAAAGACGAGACGGG